CCUUGCCAAGCCUUCAUCGAAGCCUAAGACAAAGGAGUCGGACCCCGCGUCCGACAUGUCACGGACGAACUCGUCGGACUGACGAUAGGCCUGUACCGCCUCCGACAUGUCACGGAUGAACUCGGCGGACUGACGAUAGGCCUGUACCGCCAGACGCCCGAUUUCCGCGCUCUUCUCGGCCAGCGCCGCCUCUGCUCGCUCCGUAAUCUGAGCUUUUGCCUCCAUGACCUUCGCCACAAUCCGGUCGUCCGCCUCGGAGGAGACCCUCAGCAGAUCAGCCCGAGCCUCCUUGUGCUUCGCCUCGGCAGCAAUGCGAGCAGCCUCAGCCUCCUUCAGGCGCGAAUGAAGCUCCCGGUCGCUCGCGCGGGACUCCUCCAAGACCGACUCCAAUUCGCCCAGCUUGGCUUCAAGAGACCGGGUUCGGUUGCGGGCGUUGUCGGCUGACCGUUGGGCCUU
rnacentral:lncRNA from 1 species